GUUGCAAAAGAACCUUUUGAGUAAGUCUCUUUGGUGCAAUACAGAUACGUCAAGGCUGAUUGUUAUUGUACAUGUCAGGGCUGUUGAAGUGCAGGAUAAAGAAGGCCAUUGUGCUCCCACGGAGGGGACAGCUCGGAUGAUUAAUGACUGCUCCCUCAAUUCUCCGAAGAAGAGAUGGAAGUCGGAUAAGGCCUCCGCUGGCGGACAACAUGGAAAACAGGUCGAAGAAACUGCAAAGAUGCUGAAGACCAGCACAUUUUAAACAGUGUCCUCAACAUUUGAUUUUGGAGAAGAAAAGUACCCACAGCCAUCCCCCAGGGACCAGCUGCCCAUCACCACAGCAUUGGCAAACGUCCACUUUGGGAGGAUAAUGAGCAUUUUUGGCUGCAGCAGCAACGACGCCAUAAAACACCACGAACUGCUGCUCGCAGGCUUCUCCCAUCACUGCUCGGAGCAUCUGUGGAAGGGAAAACUUCCCAGCGUAACAUCCACAACCUCUUAAGUAAAUAGUCUUUAAUGUUGCACUAAAGGGUUGUAGUCUUAAUAUGUAAAAUCUGUUUAGCUUUUUUAAUUCUUGGAUCGUGCUGUGGAAAGUCCUCCAGAAGUUGCCUGUUGGCUUUUUUCCCCUCGCCUUUGGUCUCGGAGGAGCUGUGGCCAGGAACGCCCUCCCGCAGAGCCGCCGCACCCGGGGCCAGCGGGAGCUGGUGGGAGAUGCCCUGAAGAUGGCAGCAGGGCCAUGGGCACCACGCAGCCCGGGCUGCGACAGCGCGGGGACAGCCGGCGGGUACCACAGCGCUCCGCUACACGCUGCUUGAAGCAAAUAUUUUCGCU